rnacentral:rRNA from 1 species
GAUCCUGGCUUAGGAUGAACGCAGCGGCAGGCUUAACACAUGCAAGUCGAGGGGCAUCGGGAGUAGCAAUACUGCCGGCGACCGGCGCAAGGGUGCGUAACGCGUGAGCAACAUGCCCGUAUCAGGGGGAUAAUCCAUGGAAACGUGGUCUAAUACCCCAUAGUAAUUAUGUAAGGCAUCUUAUAUAAUUUAAAGCUUUGGUGGAUACGGAUUGGCUCGCGUGACAUUAGCUAGAUGGUAAGGUAACGGCUUACCAUGGCUACGAUGUCUAGGGGUUCUGAGAGGAAGGUCCCCCACACUGGAACUGAGACACGGUCCAGACUCCUACGGGAGGCAGCAGUGAGGAAUAUUGGACAAUGGAUGGAAAUCUGAUCCAGCCAUGCCGCGUGCAAGGAAGACGGCCCUAUGGGUUGUAAACUGCUUUUGUAUGGGAGCAAUAAGGGCUACGCGUAGUCCGAUGAGAGUACCAUACGAAUAAGCACCGGCUAACUCCGUGCCAGCAGCGGC